rnacentral:rRNA from 1 species
UACGUAGGGUGCAAGCGUUGUCCGGAAUUAUUGGGCGUAAAGAGCUCGUAGGCGGUCUGUCGCGUCUGCUGUGAAAACCUAGGGCUUAACUCUGGGCGUGCAGUGGGUACGGGCAGACUAGAGUGCGGUAGGGGAGACUGGAAUUCCUGGUGUAGCGGUGAAAUGCGCAGAUAUCAGGAGGAACACCGAUGGCGAAGGCAGGUCACUGGGCCGCAACUGACGCUGAGGAGCGAAAGCAUGGGGAGCGAACAGG